rnacentral:rRNA from 1 species
GACGAACGCUGGCGGCGUGCUUAACACAUGCAAGUCGAACGGAAAGGCCCCCUUGUGGGGUACUCGAGUGGCGAACGGGUGAGUAACACGUGAGUAACCUACCCUUGACUUUGGGAUAACUUCAGGAAACUGGGGCUAAUACCGGAUAGGAGCUCCUGCUGCAUGGUGGGGGUUGGAAAGUUUCGGCGGUUGGGGAUGGGCUCGCGGCUUAUCAGCUUGUUGGUGGGGUAGUGGCUCACCAAGGCUUUGACGGGUAGCCGGCCUGAGAGGGUGACCGGCCACAUUGGGACUGAGAUACGGCCCAGACUCCUACGGGAGGCAGCAGUGGGGAAUAUUGCACAAUGGGCGGAAGCCUGAUGCAGCAACGCCGCGUGCGGGAUGACGGCCUUCGGGUUGUAAACCGCUUUCGCCUGUGACGAAGCGUGAGAGACGGUAAUGGGUAAAGAAGCACCGGCUAACUACGUG